rnacentral:rRNA from 1 species
AAUUUUGGACAAUGGGGGAAACCCUGAUCCAGCCAUCCCGAGUGUAUGGUGAAGGCCUUCGGGUUGUAAAGUACUUUUGGCAGAGAAGAAAAGGUACCUCCUAAUACGAGGUACUGCUGACGGUAUCUGCAGAAUAAGCACCGGCUAACUCCGUGCCAGCAGCCGCGGUAAUACGAAGGGCGCAAGCGUUAAUCGGAAUUACUGGGGCUCAAGCGUGUGUAGGCGGUUCGGAAAGAAAGAUGAGAAAUCCCAGGGCUCAACCUUGGAACUGCAUUUUUAACUGCCGAGCUAGAGUAUGUCAGAGGGGGGUAGAAUUCCACGUGUAGCAGUGAAAUGCGUAGAUAUGUGGAGGAAUACCGAUGGCGAAGGCAGCCCCCUGGGAUAAUACUGACGCUCAGACACGAAAGCGUGGGGAGCAAAC